rnacentral:rRNA from 1 species
UGCAGUCGACGAUGAUCAGGAGCUUGCUCCUGUGAUUAGUGGCGAACGGGUGAGUAACACGUGAGUAACCUGCCCCUGACUCUGGGAUAAGCGUUGGAAACGACGUCUAAUACUGGAUAUGACUUCCGGCCGCAUGGUCUGGUUGUGGAAAGAUUUUUUGGUUGGGGAUGGACUCGCGGCCUAUCAGCUUGUUGGUGAGGUAAUGGCUCACCAAGGCGACGACGGGUAGCCGGCCUGAGAGGGUGACCGGCCACACUGGGACUGAGACACGGCCCAGACUCCUACGGGAGGCAGCAGUGGGGAAUAUUGCACAAUGGGCGAAAGCCUGAUGCAGCAACGCCGCGUGAGGGAUGACGGCCUUCGGGUUGUAAACCUCUUUUAGUAGGGAAGAAGCGAAAGUGACGGUACCUGCAGAAAAAGCACCGGCUAACUACGUGCCAGCAGCCGCGGUAAUACGUAGGGUGCAAGCGUUGUCCGGAAUUAUUGGGCGUAAAGAGCUCGUAGGCGGUUUGUCGCGUCUGCUGUGAAAUCCCGAGGCUCAACCUCGGGCUUGCAGUGGGUACGGGCAGACUAGAGUGCGGUAGGGGAGAUUGGAAUUCCUGGUGUAGCGGUGGAAUGCGCAGAUAUCAGGAGGAACACCGAUGGCGAAGGCAGAUCUCUGGGCCGUAACUGACGCUGAGGAGCGAAAGCAUGGGGAGCGAACAGGAUUAGAUACCCUGGUAGUCCAUGCCGUAAACGUUGGGCGCUAGAUGUAGGGACCUUUCCACGGUUUCUGUGUCGUAGCUAACGCAUUAAGCGCCCCGCCUGGGGAGUACGGGCCGCAAGGCUAAAACUCAAAAGGAAUUGACGGGGGGCC